rnacentral:pre_miRNA from 1 species
AGUAAAAUCACCGGGAGGAACUUGUUAAAAAACAGUCCCUGAAGAAUUUAUAUUUCUAACAAGUUGCCAGGUGAUGCUGAU